UACGUAGGGGGGCAAGCGUUUGUCCGGAUUUAUUGGGCGUAAAGAGCGUGUAGGCGGCUUUACAGGUCCGUUGUGAAAACUCGAGGCUCAACCUCGAGACGCCGGUGGAAACCGUAAGGCUAGAGUCCGGAAGAGGAGAGUGGAAUUCCUGGUGUAGCGGUGAAAUGCGCAGAUAUCAGGAGGAACACCCGUGGCGAAAGCGGCUCUCUGGGACGGUACUGACGCUGAGACGCGAAAGCGUGGGGGAGCAAACAGG
rnacentral:rRNA from 1 species